rnacentral:misc_RNA from 1 species
AAGUCGUAACAAGGUUUCCGUAGGUGAACCUGCGGAAGGAUCAUUACCGAGAUUUUUUCCUGCUUGCAGGAAAUCUCCCACCCUUUUGUGUAACGAAAUUUUGAUAUACUUUGGUAAAGCGCUUGUUGAGCAUACGUGCUAAGCAACCAGUGACUGACUUUUUUUUAUGUUAGUGGCUGUGUCUUUGCCAAAGGACCCCAAAUAUAACUCUAUUUUAUAUAAUUAUUUUGUCUGAGUUUAUAAUUUUUAAAAUAAACAAAACUUUCAACAACGGAUCUCUUGGUUCUG